GGCUCUGCGCAGCGGCGGCGUCGUAGCCAAUGAGGUUUAUCCGAGGCGCGGUCAUUGCCAAUGGGACACUCUCCCGGUGCCCCGCCACGGCGACUGGCAGUACAGUCGGCACUGGCGGUCUUUGACGGUCCCUAUGGGGG